CGGGUCAAUCAAAUCAUUGAUCAAUUAAUGAGGGUCAAACGUCUAUUUCAAAGACAUUUUUGAAUCCUCUCCUCGUACAAGUAGGUCCAAAAACAAAAUUUAGAAAUCGUUAAAAAUAUGCAGAACUCCAGAAUCAAAGUCCACUGAAAUUUCUUAUUUGUAUAUGUCAUCGACUACCAUCUGUCAAACAAUAUGACUUUGAUGCCUAGCGGCAACACGGAUCUUAUGUUCUUUAGAUGCCCAUGAUAUCAAAACAGACCAGGUAGAAGACUCAAAAACCACAGUCAGAGAUACUCGAACUGGGGUUAAAUCAUCCGUCUUUCCAUGGAAAUAUUUCAUCCGCAGCUGACAUGCUCACUUGGUAUGAAGCUGAUCUCUGCCUUCUAAUGCGCAAAUCUUCUUCAAAUGUACCUGGAAUAAGAGCAUAUACAUAUCUAAGAUCAUAGCUAUAAGUUCAUUUUUCACAUAACUGCAAGGAGAUGACGCACAUACAAUUGAUUAGCAUUAAAUUAUGACGGCUUCCAUGUUUAGCCCAACAAAUAAACUGAACCAUAUGCAUGUGCUCGUGAUCGGUGAUUCAAGAAUAAAAGGCAAUCAAAAAGUGGAGCAAAGGGAGUACAUUUUACCUCUUCAAUCACUUUUUAAUUGAUUUUGUGGCUGUGAGAAAAACUCUUUGGCAUUAUUUGCCACUUCUGCCUCCAGUAUCGCUUCUAACACAAUGUCAGACCCUUUUGCUUCAUCUUUUGGGAAAAAAGAAAAUAAUUAACACAACAAAGGAAGAAAUUUCACAACAAACUGUUGUACGCGCACAGGGCGUAGAUAGGAGAUUGGAGUUGAUUCUCAAAAAAAUCCACCCUUCGUUUGCAGCUACGAAACAUGUAAAUAUUUAAACCUAUUUUUUCAUCGAGCCCGUCUAGAUCUAUAAGGUACUUCUUGGUCGAGUGGGUUUUGGGAGGGAAAUUGCAAGCCUAAUUCUUUUUCUUUCUAGGAAAUCCAAUAUCAAGUUAAUGUAGGAUAAAAUUUUCAUAACUAGCAUCGGCAAAAAAUGCAAGAUGAUUUCUUUCGAUCUGUCUAAGCCUUAGUGGUCCUGAGUUAUUUGGAACGGCUCUUUCUCUCUCUUCAAGUCUCUCUCUCCCCGCUAGUGCUCUCUCUUCUGCCUUCUGAUUUUUCGGCGCCGGCAACCUCAAGUAAGCCAGCCUCUCUCUCCCACUCUUCUCCCUCCUUCCUCUCUCCCUCCCCCCCUCCCCCCCCCCCCCCGCUCUCUACUCCACCCCUUUACUCUCUUUUCUCUACCCCUUCUCUCUCUUUUCUCUGUUUCAACGCCGGAAUUUCUGGUCGGCGACCUCCUAGCGCCUCUCCUCUGUCUUUCUUCUCUUCUCCUCACUCCUUUCUUCUCUUUUAUCCCCAUAAACCCGUCUCUCUUUCCCUGCUGAUCGUUUUCCCCAACCCUUCUUGAGCCCAAAUUUCAGUUCUGAAACCCUAGCUGCCCCGCCGGCGACCCCCCCCCCCCUUGGUGUCCCUCCCUUUUCGACUCUGUCCAAGGGUGGACAGGUUGACAGCCCCCCUCCCUAUUGGUUUCGUGGUGGUUGUGUGUAUUUUUUUAGGGAACUAGUUGCGGUUGCCCAGGAAAGCGCGAGCAUACGGGAGAGUAGAGCGUAGCAUCACCGGCUAGUAUGUGCAAAGGUUGGCAGGAGUUGGAAGGAUGCACGACAGAUUUCUGUGACCUCGGGUGCAUCGUCAUAUUUCCAGGUUCUUUCCAUCGGGAGUUGGUACCUCCCGCUUUCUUGUCUCUUUCUUUGUGUUAGUUAAAUUGGAGCUAUUUAGUUAGCAUCACUUUAAGCAUAUUAUUAGAGUACUUGUAGUUGCUACCUAUUAUUUUCUAGUUUGGGUCUGUGCUAGUGUUUUCCAGAGUUUGUCGUAGGUAUAGUGGUUGUGGUCUGGGAUGGUAGAGUAAGGUCAUGUCCUCGAGGGGUGUCGGGGGUGAGAAGGGGGUGGGGAGGGGGUCAGUGGAUGGGAUGAGAGGCAAUGAGGGUAAGGGGAAAGAGGGAGCUUGUAGAUUGAGGAUCGGGUCGUGGAACAUAGGCACGCUGACGGGUAAGUCUAUUGAGUUGACAAAGAUUCUCCAAAAGAGGAAGGUUAAUAUAGUUUGUGUCCAGGAGACUAGGUGGGUAGGGUCGAAGGCGAAGAAUACAAACGGGUAUAAGUUGUGGUACUCUAGAGUCAUGAUGGGUAAGAAUGGAGUGGGUAUCUUAGUGGAUAGGGAUCUUAGAGAGACUGUGGUUGAGGUUAGGCGAGUGAAUGAUAGGCUAAUAUUUAUUAAGUUGGUGAUUGGUGAGUGCACCCUAAUGUAUUUAGCGCUUACGCGCCGCAAGCGGGCUUCGAUGAGGAGGUUAAGAGGCGCUUUUGGGAGGGUUUGGACGAGAUUGUGCAUAGUAUUCCACCUACUAAAAGGUUAUUUAUUGGAGGGGAUUUUAAUGGCCAUAUUGGGUCGGCUGCUGGUAGUUAUGGCGAGGUGCAUGGUGGCUUUGGCCUUGGGGAUAGUAACGGAGGAGGUACUUCGCUGCUACACUUCGCUAAGGCUUUCGAACUGGUGAUUGCGAACUCGACUUUUCCGAAGAGGGAGGAGCAUCUGGUUACUUUUCAAAGUUCGGCGGUGAAGACUCAGAUUGAUUACAUUCUCCUCAUAGGGUGUGAUAUAGGGUUGUGCAAGGAUUGCAAAGUUAUCCCGAGAGCAGAGGCGGACCCAUGAUUUAAGCCUUACGGGGGCACCAUUGUUUUUAGUAUGCCAAUCACCAACAAUAAAGUUCGGGUGUAACUCUUUGAAAUGACUAUGAUAAUUUAUCAUCAAAAUAAAAAUAUCAAUAUUAUCAAAUAUCAUUAACUUGAUACUAAUAUAACAAAAGUAUAUUGUCCACUCAUAGUGGAACUCGACGCGUUUUCAAACGGUCAAUAAUAGCAUCAUUGCUUAUAUUUACAAACACUUCCUUCUCAAAGUAACAAACUAAACAAUCAUUUAAAAAUGCAUCACCAAUACUACCACACAAUUCAUCUUUGAUGUACUUCAUAGAUGAGAAUGUUCUUUCCACCGUUGCAGUUGCGACAGGUAAAAUUAAAGUCAACUUCACAAGCAAAUAAACAAGUGAAUAAAUCUCCACAAGAUUUGUCUCAACCAAUGCUUUCGCCAAAUCACCAAUUCCUUUCAAAUCAGAUAACCUAGGGUCACCAUGUUGCAUAUGUCAUAUGAAAGUGUCAAGUUGGUGACUGAGAUCUCGAAGCUUCAAUUCACCAAACUCAUCGGGAUAAUGCUUGGCCAAUGUCAUUAUUCUUUACUUAUCAAAAUUAGCAAAUGAGUUAGCCGGAUUCAAGCUAGCCAUACCAAGAAGCAGGUUACUACUCACAACAUCAAAACGACUUUUAAGCUCCAGAAGUUACAAAUCAAUCACGGCAUAAAAAAGCUCAACACGUAAGUGAUUGAAUAAGUAACACUAGAAGGCCUACAUUUCGACUUUCCAGGAAUAUAGAAUUCUUCCAUCUUGGGCACCAAAAUAUCAUGUUUUGCACAAAAUAAAUAUACUCCAUCCAUCAAUGGUUCUCAUCCUUUAUCUCUCAUUUCUUGCAACCUUCCCUUUGUGAUAUCAAGAAAUACCAUGGCAUUGACAAUAUCUUGAUCUUUCUUCUGUAAUGCUUUGCUCAACUUAUUUGACAUUAUCAACACUUUCAACAUUAAGUGAAGCAAGAAAACAAAUUCAAAUGCUUUAAUUUUACUCGAACAAUCUUUUGCUUGCAACCUAUCAUUAACAUCCCCUUCACAUUCAAUCACCCCAAGCACAUGAACAAUAGAAGAAAAUAAAAUAACAAAGUUAUCCAAUGUUUUACAAUGUGAUCCCCAACGAGUGUCACCUGGCCUUUGAAGUCCCCGCUCUUGAUUUAAUCCUUUCCUACUUUGAACUUCACCACUCUCUAACAAUUGAUCCAACAAUUCUACUUGAUGAUCCCGAAGUUGAUCUCUACGCUUAAAAGAAACUCCAAUUAUAUUCAACACGUUAGUAACAAUAGCAAAGAAAGUCUCAACCUCCUUGUAUUUUUUAGCAACAGCUACAAGCGUCAAUUGUAAUUGACGUGCAAAACAAUGAACAGAAUAUGCCCAUGGAGUUUCUUGCAAAAUUAAAGCUUUAAGGCCAUUCAUCUUUCCCUACAUAUUACUAGCCCCAUCAUAGCCUUGUCCACGUAUUUUGGAUGGACUUAAUGAGUGUUUCAUUAGCAAAGAAAGUACUGCUUCUUUCAACGACUUUGCAGAUGUAUUACUAACACGAACAAGACUAAUAAAUGGCUCGUUCACUUGGCCUUUUUUGUCAACAUACCGCAAAGCAAGGGCCAUUUGUUCAUGGUGUGAAAUACCCUUGGACUCAUCAACUAAUAUCCCAAAAUAAUCUCCAUCCAAGUCAUCAAUUAUAGCUUUCACAGUCUCUUGUGCACAAGCACUCACAAAAUCCUUUUGAAUUUUUAGCGAAGUCAUCAUAUCAUUUUUUGGAGCAUGUUUUAAUAUAACUCUAUCUACAUCUGGAAGCCUAUUUCCAAGUCAUUCCAAAAACCCUAGAAAAAGGCCUUUAUUUUUUGAAGAUUCACUUUCAUCGUGACCACGAAAAGACAAUCCAAAGUCCAAGAGAAAUCUUGCAACAUCAAUUGAGGCAUUUAAAUGAAUUCGAUAUUCAGUUUUUUUGUUGAUCGGAUUGCUUUUCAAAAGCAGCUUGAAUUGAUUGAGAUUGAUUUGACAAGUCUAGCAUAUUGUUGAAGCACUUAUGGUGGAGAUUACUUACUUCACCAACAUGUAGACCAAAUCUUUCGGUUGCUUUAUUCCAAGCCUUAAAGCCGGUUUUUGUGAAAGAGUCACAUGUGCUUUCAUUAACGUAAUCAUUUUUGAAUAAAUAACAACAUAAACAAAAUGCGGCAUCUUUCUUCACACUAUACUCUAACCAUCUAGAAUACGAACCUUUAAACCAACCCGAACUAAAUUGGCACAUUUUCUUCCUAAAUAAAGUUUUAGGAAAUUUGUGAUCUGGUUGGCAGGGCCCUCUUUGGAUGUAGUGUCUUCUCACUUCAUCUCGUAUUCUAGGGCUAUAUCUAUCAAUGGAUAUUCUCUCUCCGGGAUCGAUAUUAAGUGAUUUCACAUCAAACUCUUCUACAAGAUGAGAGGAAUUGUCUCUACAACUAGAACUUGGUUGAGAAGAAUUAAACCUCGUCAAAAAUAUGUCCAUCUCAAUUCACAUCAAGAGAACUUCCUACAAAGCAACAAUGCCAAGCAAAACAAUAUUUUUAAUAUGAUUAAUCACACUCCUUAUUUUAUUAUAAGUCAUAACUAUAUUAUUAUUAUUUUAUUAAAGAUAGAAGAAUCACUUACCAAUUUCUGAA
rnacentral:lncRNA from 1 species